rnacentral:rRNA from 1 species
GCUUGCUCUGUGGGAUCAGUGGCGAACGGGUGAGUAACACGUGAGCAACCUGCCCCUGACUCUGGGAUAAGCGCUGGAAACGGCGUCUAAUACUGGAUAUGUGACGUGACCGCAUGGUCUGCGUUUGGAAAGAUUUUUCGGUUGGGGAUGGGCUCGCGGCCUAUCAGCUUGUUGGUGAGGUAAUGGCUCACCAAGGCGUCGACGGGUAGCCGGCCUGAGAGGGUGACCGGCCACACUGGGACUGAGACACGGCCCAGACUCCUACGGGAGGCAGCAGUGGGGAAUAUUGCACAAUGGGCGGAAGCCUGAUGCAGCAACGCCGCGUGAGGGAUGACGGCCUUCGGGUUGUAAACCUCUUUUAGCAGGGAAGAAGCGAAAGUGACGGUACCUGCAGAAAAAGCGCCGGCUAACUACGUGCCAGCAGCCGCGGUAAUACGUAGGGCGCAAGCGUUAUCCGGAAUUAUUGGGCGUAAAGAGCUCGUAGGCGGUUUGUCGCGUCUGCUGUGAAAUCCCGAGGCUCAACCUCGGGCCUGCAGUGGGUACGGGCAGACUAGAGUGCGGUAGGGGAGAUUGGAAUUCCUGGUGUAGCGGUGGAAUGCGCAGAUAUCAGGAGGAACACCGAUGGCGAAGGCAGAUCUCUGGGCCGUAACUGACGCUGAGGAGCGAAAGGGUGGGGAGCAAACAGGCUUAGAUACCCUGGUAGUCCACCCCGUAAACGUUGGGAACUAGUUGUGGGGUCCAUUCCACGGAUUCCGUGACGCAGCUAACGCAUUAAGUUCCCCGCCUGGGGAGUACGGCCGCAAGGCUAAAACUCAAAGGAAUUGACGGGGACCCGCACAAGCGGCGGAGCAUGCGGAUUAAUUCGAUGCAACGCGAAGAACCUUACCAAGGCUUGACAUAUACGAGAACGGGCCAGAAAUGGUCAACUCUUUGGACACUCGUAAACAGGUGGUGCAUGGUUGUCGUCAGCUCGUGUCGUGAGAUGUUGGGUUAAGUCCCGCAACGAGCGCAACCCUCGUUCUAUGUUGCCAGCACGUAAUGGUGGGAACUCAUGGGAUACUGCCGGGGUCAACUCGGAGGAAGGUGGGGAUGACGUCAAAUCAUCAUGCCCCUUAUGUCUUGGGCUUCACGCAUGCUACAAUGGCCGGUACAAAGGGCUGCAAUACCGUGAGGUGGAGCGAAUCCCAAAAAGCCGGUCCCAGUUCGGAUUGAGGUCUGCAACUCGACCUCAUGAAGUCGGAGUCGCUAGUAAUCGCAGAUCAGCAACGCUGCGGUGAAUACGUUCCCGGGUCUUGUACACACCGCCCGUCAAGUCAUGAAAGUCGGUAACACCUGAAGCCGGUGGCCUA